GGUACACUCUCCCCCUUCCUCAAGGCCUUCACCUCUGUUUCCAGCCGGUAAUUAUCCUGCUCUAGGCUAUUAUAGGCAUCCGAUAGGCUUUUCAAGUCAGAUUCAAAUUUCCCCGCCAUGUUUCUGUAAUUGCUAGCCUCGGCUUCAAUCUUCGCUUUCUCGGACUUGAGCAUUUCAAUGCGAAGUGAUGCUUCUUGCAGAUCUCGACGAAUGGUUUCUG
rnacentral:misc_RNA from 1 species